GCGCGCGGGGGGGCCCUGCAGCCGCCGCCCCUCCCCCCACCUGCUCCAGCAGGGGGCGCUGUGUGGGCGGGGAGAGGCCACAAGCACCCCGCUGCCCACGGCAUCCCGCGCAGCCGCCCUCCCUGUCCCCCAGCUGCCUGGGGAUAGGGUGACCAGAUGUCCCGAUUUUAUAGGGACAGUCCCGAUUUUUGGGUCUUUUUCUUAUAUAGGAUCCUAUUACCCCCCACCCCCGUCCCGAUUUUUCACACUUGCUGUCUGGUCACCCUACCUGGGGAUCAAGCGAAUCCCAUUUCAAACUGAGCCAGUCCCUGAGAACCCCAACGCCCGACGUGACUAGGUCCCGCCCUGUGCACCCCGAGUCCCCCCCUUGCCCCUGCUCGCCGGGAGCCCAUCAGAAAAGAAGAAGCAACAAGCUCCAAGCCAAACACUAGCCGACAAGCUGCGACAAGCCCCAACCAAGCCCAGUUUCUGCAUUUCCCCCGUGGGGUUGGCACGUCUGCUCCAGGGGCCGCUGCUGAACGGGGUCGCUGGCACAACAGGUGACCUGACGUGGUCGUCACCAACGAGGCCCAGAAAAAGAUCUUUCUCGUCGAUGUCACGGUCUCCUUUGAGAACAGGACCCCGGCAUUUCGCGAAGCCCGAACUCGUAAGCUGGAAAAGUACGCCCCCCUGGCUGACACCAUGAGAGCGAAGGGCUAUGAGGUGCAGAUGGACGCCCUGAUUGUCGGAGCCCUGGGACCCCUGCAACAAGCAUGUGCUGCGGACCUGCGGGAUCGGUCAACGCUACGCACGUCUCAUGCGGCGCCUCAUGGUCUCAGACGCCAUCCGAUGGUCCAGGGACAUCUACAUCGAGCACAUCACCAGCCACCAACAGUACCAGGAGGCGUGAGCCAGAGUGACAUCGUUCUCCCACUACGAGAAAGAGACCAAGUGACCUUCUCCGUUGGCUCAUAUGGACUGGAACCAUAAACUCCCUGAACAUUAAAUCUCACCAAAUGAGGGUCAAUCCAUCCUCAUCAUCAUAUCCACUCAUUAUUAUCCACACCCGAACAUAGCCACUUUAUGAACUUCAUACCCUCAUAUCUCAAUGUCUGUACUUUGACCCAUCAACCUUUUACCCUCAAUCGGAGAUAUUGCAGAUUAUGUAUUCCUCAUGCCACCUUAUCUUAAACCAAACUUUGCACCCUCGAUAAUCUGUAUGUUAUUCCCUGAUAACCAGAAACUUCUAUGCUCAAACUCUGUUCACUAUUUUUUUCUUUUACAUCAUCUUAAUAAAAUUUCCUUUGCUCCAGUGUACACUGUUGUGACGUUGUGCAGUCUAUAUGGUUUUAUACAAACUUAUUAUCAAGUCAAUAUAAUGUAACUGGGAUAGUUUUAGAGAAAAUACGGUAAUAAGUGAAUGUAACGUAACUGGGAUAUGCUUCAUGCAAAAGGUCUCUUGUAAGGUAUCAUUACAAAGCUUAUAAUCUACUGAGUAUGAUCAUCUGAUUUGUAUAAAUGUACCACUCUUGUAUCUAAAACUAGAAAUAUAAAAUGUAACUCUGAGGGCCUAUUGUAAUUGUGUAAAGUGUGAACCAUUAAUGAUGGUUUGGAAUCUUGAUGACUCCCAUUGUCUGCAGAUGGCUGUAUUUACCUGUGAGUCUUCCUGUAUGUGUGUGUGCUGGCAAGUGAGUAAUGAAGUCUUGCAGUGACAUGUGAUCAUGUCACCUGAACUGGAAUCCAUCUUUAACCUGGUGCUUUUCCAGUGAGGGGGGUGGAAACCCAGAGAGACAAAGAGUUCCCGCCUUAUGCAAAAGAUAUAUAAAGGUAGGGAAGAGAACAGAGAGGGGGAGAAGCCAUCAUGAAGAAUCCCCUAGCUACCACCUGAGCUGCAACAAGAGCUGUACCAGGGGAAAGAAUUGUGCCCAGGCCUGGAAGGUGUCCAGUCUGAGAAAAACUUACUGAAACAUCUCUGAGGGUGAGAUUAUCUGUAUUUAGUUUGAUUAGGCAUAGAUUUGCGCAUUUUAUUUUAUUUUGCUUGGUGACUUACUUUGUUCUGUCUGUUACUACUUUGAACCACUUAAAUCCUACUGUCUGUAUUUAAUAAAAUCACUUUUUGUUUAGUAA